CCAUGUGAUUGCCGGGAAUUGAACUCAGGACCUUUGGAAGAGCAGACAGGGGUCAUGUAUUUCAGGCCAUCUUUGAACUUGCACUUGCUAUAUAGCCACCAAGUGUCCAGCAGAGCUGUUCAUGGAGGAAGGCAGUGACACACAGGGCGAAGGAGGGCUUGAAGCAGAGGAUGUGGAAGCUGGAGGUUCUGCAUGGCCUGAAGUGGAGCAGCAAGCAAGGCUUUCGUGGUGGUCCUAACCCCUCAAGACAUGUUUUCUUGCAGCCAUCUUGGCAGGCUGGGAUGGGGGAAGAGAAGACAGAUGGCUGGAUAGCUGAUUGAGCCAAAGUUGGGGAACUACCAGAUGGAGGUGUUAGAAAGACAGGGUGAGGACACUGGUGUGCUGGCAAGAGAAUGGCUGACAACAAGGCCAUGGAGUCCAGGAAAUCUGGGGAGGAGCAGAGCUUGGGAGAGGUUUCCUGAAGUGACUUCAGCUUGAUGAAAACAAUGUUCUAGAAAUAAUCCGCUCUGCGUGUUUAUGAAGUGAGAGAGUUCAUGCCAAAAUUAUUUUGGAGAUUCUGUACUCAGAGCAACCAGAGACGUUGUUAUACUGAGAACUAAAAAGAUUGAGCCAGAGAAACUCUUGUUGGCCUGAGACACCGUGAAGAGGGACACCGUCUAUAACACACUAAUGUGACUAAAAACAAAGUAGUUCUCCGAUGAACAGAAUUUCACAGAGACAAAGGGACCUGCAGGAAUGAGUGUUCCACCUGCAGGAAUGAGUGUUCCACCUGCAGGAAUGAGUGUUCCACCUGCAGGAAUGAGUGUUCCACCUGCAGGAAUGAGUGUUCCACCUGCAGUUACUUUAAAGAGUUUUUUAAAAAUUUUCAUGUGUGCAUAUGUUUGCAUGCACAUAUGUGCGUAUGUGUACGGGUCCCAAGGAGAUGAAGUUAUAGGCAGUUGUGAGCCACCAUGUGGUUGCUGAGAAUUGAACCCAGGUCCUCUGGAAGAAGCAGCCAGCACUCUUAACCACUGAGCCAUCUCAAGUAAACUACAAGUAAACUUCACUUUAACUCUCAAGAAGUCAGCCUAGCACAGUGGCACAGGCCUGCAAUUCCAGAAACCAAUAAAUAGAGGCAGGAAUAUCAGGAGUUCAAGCUGCAUAGUGAAGUCAAGGCCAGCCUAGGCUACAUAAGACUGUGUAACAAAAAAAAAAAAAUGAAAACCUAAAACAAAACCAAAAGGGGGCUGGAGAUAUACCUUAGUUGA